rnacentral:rRNA from 1 species
GUAGUCCACGCCGUAAACGAUGGAUACUAGCUGUGGGGGGUAUCGACCCCCUCCGUAGCGAAGCUAACGCGUUAAGUAUCCCGCCUGUGGAGUACGGCCGCAAGGCUAAAACAUAAAGGAAUUGACGGGGACCCGCACAAGCGGUGGAGCGUGUUCUUUAAUUCGAUGCUAAACGAAGAACCUUACCAGGGCUUGACAUCCCUUGAAUUUCUGCGAAAGCAGAAAGUGCUUUAUUGAACAAGGUGACAGGUGCUGCAUGGCCGUCGUCAGCUCGUGUCGUGAGAUGUUUGGUUAAGUCCAUCAACGAGCGCAACCCUUGUGAUUAGUUGAAUUUUUCUAAUCAUACUGCCCCGGCAACGGGGA